rnacentral:misc_RNA from 1 species
GUAGGAGCCGGCUUGCUGGCGAAGAACGAUAACGCGGUCUUUCGGAAACACCGCAUCGCCCAGAUCGCCAGCAAGCCGGCUCCUAC